rnacentral:rRNA from 1 species
GGAAAAGCUGGAGUUGAGAACAGUAGAGCUUGCCAAUGCGAGUGCCCUGCACUGAUAAUGUUGCUCCGUUCAAAGGACAAUGGUUGGUACAUAGCUGAGCAUCACGAGCAUCACAGCCUUCACACAAGCACAUCACUGUCUACGACAUGGGCAGACAAUACACUGGCCUUCACACAAGCACAUCGACGUCUACAACAGAGGCUUGGUUGAGCAAUUGCAUCAGAACAAUGUGAAUCUAGCCAAAGUAUAUAGCAUUGUCGGAAGUUUUUUUUGGCUCAAUGGAGAAGGCGCCUUUCACAAAACGAGCUCUGAAGAAUUUGUGUGGUAAAAUCAGCAGAGAGCAAAGCAGAAGAUGAUGCGAGGAAAACUAUGGAGGUUUUCGCAGAACUCGGCUCAAGAUAUCCACACUUCACCUAUCGUGUACAAGCGGACAAGGAUGAUCGGAUAACAACUUUGAUGUGGGCAAAAGGGAGCAGCAGGUUGCAGUACACAUUCUUUGGAGAUGUUGUCAGCUUCGACGUGACAUACAGAGGUGUGAAUAAUCAUUUUCAGAGCAUCUUCCUGGCUGGGGUUUUGGUCCAUGAUGAGAAGGUGGAGACAUAUUUGAGUGGGUUUUCAGUUUUCACAAAGUUCAUCUGGAUGAUGGGAGGGAGUGCACCAAAAACAAUUCUAACAGGUCUGAAGCGGAAGAAUAAAACCAUUUGUGUAACUGGCUGUACUUCGGCGCUGCAAACCGUAGAUCAAAUCUAAUUCCAAGGAUCUCUGCGUAUAGUUCUCUAAUGGUGAAGAAAUUAAUCCAAAUGUUAAGAGAUAACCCAGGGUUCUGUAGGGUAAGCACCACUACUAGUGUGGUUUAAAAAAAUGAGUGGUUGGGUGAGAUACUAACAUGGUUGAGGACUGGAUGUGAAAAUGCAGACUAGGCCCGGGGUUACAUGGACUCGUGACAUUAGGAAUUGCAUCCUCUGAUGGCGGAUAAUGCAUGCACAGUCAGUGUGUUCGCCUUAGAUGUACGUUAGUCUCAGUUUGUCUAAUUCCGGUACUAACUAAUUGUAAUCUUGAUACCAGCUUUUUUGGAGCCCCCCAGCUGAUAUUCCUCGGACUGACAUGGCAAACAUUGAUAGUGUUGCAAACAUGGCAAAUACUGAGCCCAAGCAGCAGCCCCACGGCACGGGUGAUAUGGAUGUGGUGCCAAAUGCUGAACAAGAGACUGUCAAAACGGAACGUGAGCAAACUGUGUUAGCACCCCAAGCCAACAAUGUGAAUCAUGUGAUGCAGAGAAUGGAAGUGGAGCCUGAGCGUGGAGUUUGCAUAGAUGUAACUGGCAAGGAGGCAUUCCGUCGCAGGCCAAGAUUUCAAAUUGCUCCAAACGAUAAGGGAUAGGGUCCAAUGGAGGAAAGUGAUCUAGAGUCUUCGGACAGUGAUGAAGACAUGCCAACCAGGUUUGCUAGGAUAUCUAGGAAGAUGCAAGAGUGUUAAGGCAGCAUGAAAGAGUCCAACAAAUGAAUGGUAACCGGCAAGAAGGGUUCCCGUCAUAAGUGUCAAAGUGUGCGAGGGGUUGAAGUUUCAAUGCCCCAAUUGCAACAGUGGAACCUGAAUAUUUACAUGUAGUUGAACCUUACAUCAUUCAUAUGCAAGUCCAGCAGCAGGUAUGGUGAAAAAGAGAGAGAAUAAGUUUGCACCGAAUACAAGAGGCACAUCAUGAUUGUAGUGUGUGUGUGUGUGGUACAAAAAUAUAUGUGUACAUGCUGAGCUGAUUACUCCCUCAAAUGUAAAUGAUGAACUGCAGGAGUUGUAGCUUGUAAGCACACAUGAACCAGAGCGUGCAGGCAGCAGGAAAAUAAUAAUAAUAAACGCUGUCGUGGGAACUGAUUUAUUG